CAUAGACAUCUAGCCACAGCCAAUGCCUUCACGACCAGCAGGCCAGCUGCCGCUACCAAGGCCAGAGUGCUUGCCCAAACACCGAGCCCACAUGUCUUUGUGGGAGACGAGGCUGAUGGUAAACCUGAUGCGACCAUAUCCAGAUCUACAACUACCACCACUCAAGAGCCAGAAGAAUUUCAGAGCUCUGCUUUGGGAUCCUUCCUGCAAGAUGGAGGAUCCUGGGAGAAGCCCUUGAGGUUGCCCCAGAGAAACCUGAGACCAUUAUGAAGGUCUGUGUGGCCAUCUAUAAUUCAAUUUCCACUACAAACACUGACAACAGAGUCAUCAACCCCACGUUUGUUGUCCACUCCACACCCACCGGGGACCUGCAUCCAGAAGAGUGGAGACAGGUGGUACAAGUGGACACUAGUUUUCUGGACCCAAAAAACAUUUCGGCAGACAGGGCAACCAGAGUUGCAAUAUACGUGCGCAAAAACCUCAAGGACUACUUCCUCACACCAGCUGGCCAAGUGUCUUUCCAGGAUGCUGCCAUGACACGUGGCACCUUACAGUAAAUUCUGGAGUAUGGUUUAGAAAACAUGUACACAUACAGUGCAUUGGGAAAUUAUUCAUACCCCUGCACUUUUUCACAUUUUGUUAUGUUACAGCCUUAUUCU